rnacentral:lncRNA from 1 species
CCCAGCAGCCCGCGUGCGGCCCAGCUCCUCCCUCACGGUGGCCUGUUGAUGCCCAACUCAUGCCUCUGGCACCCUGCCCAGAGGCGUGAGUCCCUGCCUCACACCGACCCCUCCCACGCUGAGGAAGGUCGGCAUGAGCCCCUUGCCUCACACCGGCCCCUCCCACGCUGAGAGAGGUCAGCGUGAGCCCCUUGCCUCACACCGGCCCCUCCCACGCCGAGAGAGGUCAGCAUGAGCCCUUGCCUCCCACCGGCCCCUCCCACGCUGAGAGAGGUCAGCGUGAGCCCUUGCCUCACACCGGCCCCUCCCACGCUGAGAGAGGUGGGCGUGAGCCCCUUGCCUCACACUGGCCCCUCCCACACUGA